rnacentral:lncRNA from 1 species
AUCUAUUCCACAUGUGCACUUAGAGAUAAUUAAGAAAUAAAGAAGAGAUAACAUUAGAAUAAUUAUGCCAACUAAUUGACUUAAUCAAAUCCUUUUGGACUCAUAAUUAAGUGUCCAAUUAAAUUCAAAUAAAUUUAGGUUAGGUUCAAGGCUAUGGACUUGAUCAAUUCAAAAUCCGAAAAAGAAUUAGGUUUAAUCGUGUGCUAGGGUGGUUCUCAUAAACCUAAUAGGAUUUC